UACUCUGUGGCUUAGUUGGUAAAAGCGCAUGUCUAGCGAAUACGGAGUCGUGGGUUCAAAUCCCACAAGAAUUC
rnacentral:tRNA from 1 species